rnacentral:rRNA from 1 species
GACGAACGCUGGCGGCGUGCUUAACACAUGCCAGUCGAACGGAAAGGCCCCUUUGGGGGUACUCGAGUGGCGAACGGGUGAGUAACACGUGAGUAACCUGCCCUUGACUUCGGGAUAACUUCAGGAAACUGGGGCUAAUACCGGAUAGGAAUCCUUGCUGCAUGGUGGGGGUUGGAAAGCUUCGGCGGUUUUGGAUGGACUCGCGGCUUAUCAGCUUGUUGGUGGGGUAGUGGCUUACCAAGGCUUUGACGGGUAGCCGGCCUGAGAGGGCGACCGGCCACAUUGGGACUGAGAUACGGCCCAGACUCCUACGGGAGGCAGCAGUGGGGAAUAUUGCACAAUGGGCGGAAGCCUGAUGCAGCAACGCCGCGUGCGGGAUGACGGCCUUCGGGUUGUAAACCGCUUUCAGCAGGGGCGAAGCUUGUGGUGACGGUACCUGCAGAAGAAGCACCGGCCAACUACGUG